GUGCCAGCAGCCGCGGUAAUACGUAGGCAGCAAACGUUGUUCGGAAUUACUGGGCGUAAAGAGUGUGUAGGCGGCUUUGUUAGUCUGGUGUGAAAUCUCCCGGCUUAACUGGGAGGGUGCGCUAGAAACUGCAGAGCUAGAGUAUCGGAGAGGAAAGCGGAAUUCCUGGUGUAGCGGUGAAAUGCGUAGAUAUCAGGAGGAACACCGGUGGUGUAGACGGCUUUCUGGACGAUCACUGACGCUGAGACACGAAAGCGUGGGGAGCAAACAGGAUUAGAAACCCCAGUAGUCC
rnacentral:rRNA from 1 species